rnacentral:rRNA from 1 species
AGUCAACAUGCCCAGGGGACGUGGAUAACCUCGGGAAACUGAGGAUAAACCGCGAUAGGCCAUGAUUUCUGGAAUGGUUCAUGGCCGAAAUCUAUAUGGCCCCUGGAUUGGACUGCGGCCGAUCAGGCUGUUGGUGAGGUAAUGGCCCACCAAACCUGUAACCGGUACGGGCUCUGAGAGGAGGAGCCCGGAGAUGGGCACUGAGACAAGGGCCCAGGCCCUAUGGGGCGCAGCAGGCGCGAAAUCUCUGCAAUAGGCGAAAGCUUGACAGGGUUACUCUGAGUGGUUCCCGUUAAGGGGAUCUUUUGGCACCUUUAAAAAUGGUGCAGAAUAAGGGGUGGGCAAGUCUGGUGUCAGCCGCCGCGGUAAUACCAGCACCCCGAGUGGUCGGGACGAUUAUUGGGCCUAAAGCAUCCGUAGCCGGUACUGCAAGUCUUCCGUUAAAUCCACCUGCUUAACAGUUGGGCUGCGGGGGAUACUACAGCGCUAGGAGGCGGGAGAGGCAAGCGGUACUCAAUGGGUAGGGGUAAAAUCCGCUGAUCCAUUGAAGGCCACCAGUGGCGAAGGCGGCUUGCCAGAACGCGCUCGACGGUGAGGGAUGAAAGCUGGGGGGGCAAACCGGAUUAGAUACCCGGGUAGUCCCAGCUGUAAACGAUGCAGACUCGGUGAUGGGCUGGCCUUGUGCCAGCCCAGUGCCGCAGGGAAGCCGUUAAGUCUGCCGCCUGGGGAGUACGGUCGCAAGACUGAAACUUAA